rnacentral:rRNA from 1 species
GACGAACGCUGGCGGCGCGCUUAACACAUGCAAGUCGAACGGAAAGGCCUGCUUUCCCUUGUGGAUUGCGGGUACUCGAGUGGCGAACGGGUGAGUAACACGUGAGUGAUCUGCCCCCAACUUGGGUAUAAGCCUGGGAAACUGUGUCUAAUUCCCGAUAGGACUGCAGGGUUGUGCCUGUGGUGGAAAACGAUUUUCUAGUGGUUGGGGAUGAGCUCGCGGCCUAUCAGCUUGUUGGUGGGGUAAUGUCCUACCAAGGCGGUGACUGGUAGCCGGCCUGGGAGGGUGGACGGCGACAUUGGGACUGAGCUACGGCCCAGAGUGAUGCGGGAGGAAGCAGUGGGGAAUAUUGCACGAUGGGCGGAAGCAUGAUGCCGCGGCGACGCGUGGGGGAUGACGGACUUCGGGUUGUAAACUCCUUUCGACAGCGAGGAAGCCACCUGGUUGGAAGGGUGGUGACGGUAGUGGUAGAAGAAGCACCGCCUAACUACGU